rnacentral:rRNA from 1 species
AGAGUUUGAUCAUGGCUCAGGAUGAACGCUAGCUACAGGCUUAACACAUGCAAGUCGAGGGGAAACGACAUCGAAAGCUUGCUUUUGAUGGGCGUCGACCGGCGCACGGGUGAGUAACGCGUAUCCAACCUGCCCACCACUUGGGGAUAACCUUGCGAAAGUAAGACUAAUACCCAAUGACGUCUCUAGAAGACAUCUGAAAGGGAUUAAAGAUUUAUCGGUGAUGGAUGGGGAUGCGUCUGAUUAGCUUGUUGGCGGGGUAACGGCCCACCAAGGGCUACGAUCAGUAGGGGGUUCUGGAGAGGAAGGUCCCCCACAUUGGAACUGAGACACGGUCCAAACUCCUACGGGAAGCA